rnacentral:rRNA from 1 species
GACGAACGCUGGCGGCGUGCUUAACACAUGCAAGUCGAACGGAAAGGCCCCCUUGUGGGGUACUCGAGUGGCGAACGGGUGAGUAACACGUGAGUAACCUACCCUUGACUUUGGGAUAACUUCAGGAAACUGGGGCUAAUACCGGAUAGGAGCUCCUGCUGCAUGGCGGGGGUUGGAAAGUUUCGGCGGUUGGGGAUGGGCUCGCGGCUUAUCAGCUUGUUGGUGGGGUAGUGGCUCACCAAGGCUUUGACGGGUAGCCGGCCUGAGAGGGUGACCGGCCACAUUGGGACUGAGAUACGGCCCAGACUCCUACGGGAGGCAGCAGUGGGGAAUAUUGCACAAUGGGCGGAAGCCUGAUGCAGCAACGCCGCGUGCGGGAUGACGGCCUUCGGGUUGUAAACCGCUUUCGCCUGUGACGAAGCGUGAGUGACGGUAAUGGGUAAAGAAGCACCGGCUAACUACGUG